GAUGAAGAACGUAGCGAAUUGCGAUAUGUAAUGUGAAUUGCAGAAUUCAGUGAGUCAUCGAAUCUUUGAACGCACAUUGCGCCCUGUGGUAUUCCGCAGGGCAUGCCUGUUCGAGCGUCAUUUCAACCCUCAAGCUCUGCUUGGUGUUGGGCCCUGCCCGCUGCGGCCGGCCCUAAAGACAGUGGCGGUGCCGCCUGGCCCUGAGCGUAGUACAUCUCUCGCUCCAGUGCCCGGUGGUAGCCUGCCAGAACCCCAACUCUCGUGGUUGACCUCGGAUCAGGUAGGGAUACCCGCUGAACUUAAGCAUAUCAAUAAGCGGAGGA
rnacentral:misc_RNA from 1 species